AAAAAAGUGAUGAUAAGGAAGAGUAGAUAUAAGCCUCUUUUCAGCGAGUUGAGGACUGGUGCGAGCUCAAUACUGCAGGUUAUAUCGAAAGACACCUUUGAGCUUGCAGUCUGAAAGCCAUCGUAGGACUGCACGUAGUUCGGCGUUAACGAAUUGGAGUGGGAAUUUCCAAAAAGGGUGGCACCGCGGGAUAUAAACUUCUCGUCCCUAUG
rnacentral:ncRNA from 1 species